GUGCUCUGUUGCUCGAUGAUGAAGAUCUACGGGUUGAUAUACGCGUUCUGCUUGUUGCACAGCUGCCAUGGAUCCACAACAUCAUGGUGGUCGUCGACAACAACAGAACCAGACUCCACAGCACAAUCGACAAUUACACCAUCUACAACAUCGUGGUGGUCGACAACAACUUGGUGGUCAUCCACUGCCCAUUCUACACCAUCGUGGUGGUCAACAACAACUUGGUGGUCAUCCACAGCUCAAUCUACGCAAUCGUGGUGGUCGACAACAACUUGG